rnacentral:other from 1 species
UUCCUCCUGCGGUGUUCGUGAUGAACCCGGAAGUCUUUCGACCCUACAUUUCAGAUUGGGGUCAAUAGUCUGUCGGCAGCUUUGUGCACUACCGCCGGUUGCGGAUAGCCUGCUCUGUCACGGCUGACCCCACCUUCCGCUCUGGUUCGAGAGUAAGUGGUUGAUCACGGCACAUGCGGGAGGGGC